rnacentral:rRNA from 1 species
AGUGGGCGGACGGGGAGUCACAGUAAGAAUUGCCUCCAGGAGGGGGAAACAACCGGAAACGGUUGCUAAUACCCCAUAUGCUUUCGAGUGAAACGGUUCUUCCGCCUAAAGAGAAGCUCGCGGCUGAUUAGCUCGUUGGUAGAGUAAUAGCCUACCAAGGCGACGAUCAGUAUCUGGUUUGAGAGGACGAUCAGACACACUGGAACUGAGACACGGUCCAGACUCCUACGGGAGGCAGCAGUAGGGAAUUUUCCGCAAUGGGCGAAAGCCUGACGGAGCAAUACCGCGUGAGGGAUGACGGCCUAUGGGUUGUAAACCUCUUUUUUCAGGGAGGAAACAAAUGACGUGUACCUGAAGAAUAAGCAUCGGCUAACUCCGUGCCAGCAGCCGCGGUAAGACGGAGGAUGCAAGUGUUAUCCGGAAUCACUGGGCGUAAAGCGUCUGUAGGUGGUCCAAUAAGUCAACUGUUAAAUCUUGAGGCCUAACCUCAAAAUCGCAGUCGAAACUAUUAGACUAGAGUAUAGUAGGGGUAAAGGGAAUUUCCAGUGGAGCGGUGAAAUGCGUAGAGAUUGGAAAGAACACCGAUGGCGAAGGCACUUUACUGGGCUAUUACUAACACUCAGAGACGAAAGCUAGGGUAGCAAAUGGGGAUUAGAUACCCCCAGUAGUCC